rnacentral:lncRNA from 10 species
AUUUACAUGAGGUGAACACAAAGUGGCCAAUGGGAAAUCUCUAGGGGGUAUUUGGACCUGAGAAGAUUCUAUAUCCAGGCCCUUGAGCUGCUGCCGCUGCCGGCUCCCACACUGUGGAGUGUACUUUCACUUUCAAUAAGUCUCUGCUUUUGUUGUAUCAUUCUUUCCUUGCUUUGCUGUGUGUUUUGUCCAAUUCUUUGUUCAAAAUGCCAAGAACCUGGCCAACUUGGAGUCAAGACCCUCUACCGAACUUGAAGAUUUUUAGUGUUAUGCCUACUCUGCCAAUUCUUGGAACAUUUGCGGAACUGAGAAUUUACUUCUUCGUUUAUUACUUCCUAACUACAUUUUAAAGAACAAAGAAGAAAAAAUUUCUUUUAAAGAAAGGCCAAAGAAUUAUUAUAGAUCUUUUCUUUCGACAUUCCUAAACAAGAACAGGCCUAGAUGGUGUCAUUUUCAAUUCUUGUCCUAACUGGAUUUUCCCCCACUAUGCAGAAAUGCGAGGAAAUGGGACUCUAGAGAUGCAAGUUGUGAUAAAGGAAAAAGGCCAAGAUGAAAGAAAUACAGCACAGUUUCUAAAAAAAGAAACUGUGGUUACCUUAUGUGGCCCAGGGAAGCAAGUUGGACCUUGGUAUCUGAUGGCAGGAAAGUACCAAUAACAAAAGAAAGAAGAAGCACAGAAGAGUUCCCAGGAGAAAGAGUUCUGCUUCUCAAUUUUGCUCACUCUGCCUCUCUGUUAUUCUUGUAAAAGGGUGGCAUUUGUUGUAAGGGGGACCUGUGAAGGGAUUACGGAUGGCUAAAAGAAGAAGAUCCCACGAGUGGAAAAAUACUGAAAAGUGUCGUAGUGUAGGUGAAGAAACUCAAGUGAAAUUACUCAGAGCAGAUCACAAAUAUUUUAGACCAUAUAAUGCACUCAGCAUUGUUCCUAGAGCAUCAUAAACACUCAAUGUAAGUUUCACUUCUCCUUCCUCUCCUUUUCCUCCUCUCUCUUCUGCCCCUUCCUUCUUUUUUUUCUUUCCUUUCUUCUUCCUCUUCUCCUCCUUUUCCUUCUUACUGCUGUUGUUGUUACUUAUUUUCAUUAUUUCUCCUUCCUUUACUUCCCAUCCUGACAAUAGAGAUCCUACCCAACCAUUCAGUUAACUUCACUAGUAUUUGAGUUCUACCUCCUUCAUUAAGCUUUCUCCGGCUAAUCCUAACCUGCAUUGACCUCCCAUUUGGGGAUUAAUAUCUGGUUUCACACUGUCUUAAAUUGUUCCUUGUUACUCCAAUUAUUAUUUAAUCUUGUCAGAUGAAUAAAGUGACAAAUACUUUGAAGGCUGAAA